UACAGAGGGUGCGAGCGUUGUCCGGAUUUACUGGGCGUAAAGAGCGCGCAGGCGGUCGUCCAAGUCGCGUGUGAAAGCCCCCGGCUCAACUGGGGAGGGUCACGCGAUACUGGUCGACUCGAAGGCAGGAGAGGGUAGUGGAAUUCCCGGUGUAGUGGUGAAAUGCGUAGAUAUCGGGAGGAACACCAGUGGCGAAGGCGACUACCUGGCCUGUUCUUGACGCUGAGGCGCGAAAGCUAGGGGAGCAAACGGG
rnacentral:rRNA from 1 species